UCAGCUGGCGCCGGCGCCAACUCAAUAUAUAGGCCUGGUCCGGCCCGCCCCGCACGCAUGCGCCGCAGACUGACACCUCGGCGGGCGCCUUCCCCUCCCCCGCCCGCCCGCCCGCCCGCCCGCGCCCGCCCAGCUCGUCCGCGCGCGCCGCGCCCUGCCCUGCCCUCAGUGCGCGCGGGAGGACGGACGGGCGGGCGCCGAGUGGCCGCAGGGCUGCCCUCCCGGACCGCGCUCCUCCGCCCCGCUCGACACUCCACCUGCGCGCGCCGCGGCUGCAGUCGGCUGACGGGGCGCCCCCCACCGGCUCCCGCCCGCCCUCCGGCUCGCUGUCCGAUCUCGGGGCGCCGGGCCGCUGCGGCUCGGCCCCGCAGGGCAGGGACGGGGGGGCCCACCCAGGCCCCGGGGAAGCCGGGUCUUCCCUGCGACCCGCGGAGAAGGGAGCCGAGGGCCCGCCCCUCCGGGAGGAGCCAGACGGCGGCGGCCGAGCCGGCCAAUGGCGAGAGAGGACGGCGGCACAACGUGGAGCGGCCGCGGAAUGUAAACACGCCGGAGCGCGCGGCCCGCCACGUGCGGGGCCGGAGGCAGCCGCCGGGCGACGAGCCGCUCGGCCGCCCCGGGCCGGCCGCGCACAAGGAGGCGCCUCAGUCCCGGGAGCAGAUGGUGAGAGUUGUGUGUCCUUUGGCGUCACAUCAAGUUAAGCUCCGGGCACGGCACCCCGGGUUCGCUGUGAUGGUCUGAAGCUUCAGGAGCCUUCUGGUAGACAAACACAGCAGAGGGAGAGGAUGGCUGUCUGAAAGCUGAGGACAGACCCUUGAGAAGAAACCACCCCCACGGACACCGCGGACCUGGACUUCCAGGCUCUGUCACAAUUCCCAGAACUGCAGAACUUUUCUGGACAGAGCUGCUCAGGUAAUUGUCCUUGUUGGAGAGGCCACACCCUGGAACAGAAGCUGUCUUCAGUGGAACCACCUUGGGUAAUAAAGAUGUCCUCACACCUCCCUGACACAGCGGUGGGCGGGGCCGCACCUUGAGCAGGGCUGCUUAAGCACACACACCCCUUACCCACUACUACACCUGUACUGUCCGUCAGUAUUUGAAGUCAGACUUCAGGUCUUGUCGUCUCUUUCAUUUGUGGUCACAAUGAAAGAGUUUCCUCUGCCUCUCACCUUGCAAUGUCUGUUCCAUUGAAAUAUUGAAAUGAAUGACUAAGCUUAGCUCCCAGAACCCUGGCUUUAGCCCUAAUAACUCGGGUUACCUUGAGGUGUGAGACACUGGGCUGCUGACUGAACUUAUUCUAUGGGCUUAAAGUCUUGUGUAGGUAUGAGGCUGGCUUAGGGGACAAGUAGCGUUGAAUGAUGCUCUGGUUCUCUUUCUUCCUGUCUCUAUCUCUCUGGUUUGCCGAGAUUGUAUCUUACUAUGUAGCCCACUCUGGCCUGAAGUGAGAAGCAUCCCCCUACCUCAGCCUCCAGGAGUUGGGAUUAUAGGUAGCUACCACCAUGUGUAGUGUUUAUUUUGUUUGAAAUAGUCUUGCUGUGUAGUCCCUGCUGGGCUUGAUCUCAUGAUCCUGUGUCUUCUACCUGUCCUCAUUUAAUGUCCACGACCAAACGUUUUUUAGUUUUGUUAGUUGGUUUAAGAUGUAUUUAUUUGUAGGCAUCUUGUCUGCAUGAAUUACUGUGCAAGAGAUACGUGCGAUGCUUUCGGAGGACAAAAGAGCGCAUUGGGCCCUCUGGAGCUAGGGUUACAGAUGGGGUAGAUAUCACGUGGGUGCUGGAAACCAACCCUGGGUCUCUGCAAGGGCAACAAGUGCUUCCAACCUGCUGCACCAGCUCUCCUGCCUCUCACGACCUAAACACAGAAUAUUACAGAGCAGGCUCUUCCUGAGUCAGAGUUGGGGCCUGGAGGAUGUUCUGUGAACACUCUCUCACUUAACCACACCCCCAGGCAGGAAGGCUGGUCCCACUGCCUACUGUGAGUCAUAGGAAGGUUAAUUCCCGGAUCCAGCAACCCUCAGGCGCUGCCCCUUGGAGCUGCCUUUGAUCAUCCCUUGUGUUUUGCAACUCUUUUCCAACAAACAAAAAAAAAGUCUGACCACAGUUAAGAAAUAGAGCCCAGAAAAGAUUCCCUUGGAGACACAUGCGCAAUCUAGGUGAG